AAGUUUGGUUAGCAGAUAUAUGGUCAGACCCUAGUUGUACGGGGAGUAUUGUGGUCAGGUGAUGAAUGGAUGGGAGGUGUGUGGUCACUCGAUGCGUGGACGGGUGUUGUGUGGUUGGGCGAUGAGAUGUGGUCAGAAGAGUUUUAACGUGGUGGUGGAGAGAUGUAAGGAGGUUUUCCGGAAUGGGGAAUCAAGAAUGAGAGCAUGCCUUUUAGAGUGUAACUAAUGGGGUACGAAGGUUGAGAAAGUAAGUGAGUUGUGGUCAGAAGAGAUAUGAUAAAACGAGAGUAUUGUGGUCAGGUGAUGAGUGGAUGGGAGGUGUGUGGUCACUCGAAGUGUGGACGGGUGUUGUGUGGUCAGACGAUGAGAUGUGGUCAUACGAGUUGUGAAGUGGUGGUGGAGAGACGCAAAGGGCGUUCCGGAGUGGGAAAUCAAGAAUGGGUGUCACAUGCGUUUUGUUCUGAUCAUUGCUGAGAGGGACAUAUUAUUGGAUCCCAUAUAGGCUGACUGCAGCAGAAUAUUAGGCCGUGAAUAAUUAUUCACACAUGAAAAUCUAUUAGUUGUGAAAAGCCUCUUGGGGGAGAUGGUGGUCUUUUC
rnacentral:lncRNA from 1 species